rnacentral:rRNA from 1 species
GAUGAACGCUAGCUACAGGCUUAACACAUGCAAGUCGAGGGGCAGCAUGUUGGUUGCUUGCAACCAACGAUGGCGACCGGCGCACGGGUGAGUAACGCGUAUCCAACCUACCCUUGUCCAUCGGAUAACCCGUCGAAAGGCGGACUAACACGAUAUGCGGUUCUCAGCAGGCAUCUAACGAGAACGAAAUGUGAAGGAGAAGGAUGGGGAUGCGUCUGAUUAGCUUGUUGGCGGGGUAACGGCCCACCAAGGCGACGAUCAGUAGGGGUUCUGAGAGGAAGGUCCCCCACAUGGGAACUGAGACACGGUCCAAACUACUACGGGAGGCAGCAGUGAGGAAUAUUGGUCAAUGGACGAGAGUCUGAACCAGCCAAGUAGCGUGCAGGAUGACGGCCCUAUGGGUUGUAAACUGCUUUUAUAGGGGGAUAAAGUGUGCCACGUGUGGCAUAUUGCAGGUACCCUAUGAAUAAGGACCGGCUAAUUCCGUGCCAGCCGCCGCGGUAAAAC